UUACCAAGAGCUACGUUGUGGUACUUGAAGAGAGGUCUUCCAUGAUGUAUUCACGUCAUUCCUUGAUGAAUCAUACAUGUUUGACCUUUUUUUAAGUAUCAUAUCUAGCCUAAAGAACCCU
rnacentral:precursor_RNA from 15 species